UGUGUGUAUUUGCGAUUGCAUGUGCGUGCACUUGGGAAAAUGUGCAUGUAUGUGUGCUUAUGCAUGU
rnacentral:miRNA from 1 species